rnacentral:rRNA from 1 species
UAUGCUAGUCGAACGAACUGAACUAUGUCAGUUAGUGGCACACUGCUCAGUAACACGUAGCUAACCUACCCUUAGGACGUGGAUACCCCCGAGAAAUUGGGGUUAAUCCGCGAUAGGUGUAAUGUCCUGGAAUGGUAUUACGCCCAAAGGUAAUUCAUACAUGUUUGAAUUACGCCUAAGGAUGGGGCUGCGGCCGAUCAGGCAGUUGGUGAGGUAAUGGCUCACCAAACCUUUGACCGGUACGGGCCAUGAGAGUGGUAGCCCGGAGAUGGACACUGAGACAAGGGUCCAGGCCCUAAGGGGCGCAGCAACCGCGAAACCUCCACAAUGCACUCACGUGCGAUGGGGCUAUCUCGAGUGCCACCUGAUGAAGGUGGCUUUUCCUUGGUCUUCAAAGCCUUGGGAAUAAGAGGGGGGCAAGACUGGUGUCAGCCGCCGCGGUAACACCAGCCCCUCGAGUGGUGGGGAUGAUUAUUGGGCCUAAAGCGUCCGUAGCCGGCCGUGUAAGUCUUCCGUUAAAUCCAGCGUCUCAAGCGUUGGACUGCGGGAGAUACUGUACGGCUAGAGAGUGGGAGAGGUUAGCGGUAUUCUGGGGGUAGGGGCGAAA